rnacentral:RNase_P_RNA from 1 species
AGUCUGUCGCUCAUGGCAACAUGUGAGGAAAGUCCGGGCAACACAGAGCACCAUAUUUCCUAACGGGAAGCUAUUCGUAAGAAUAGAGUAACGUAACAGAAAAUAACCGCUGCUUGCAGUAAGGGUGAAAAGGUGAGGUGAGAGCUCACCGGUUUUCGUGGUGACACGAGAAGCCGUACGUCUUAUGGGUUGUAAGGUUAUGUAUACCGGCGCAGUAGGGCUGCUCGUCCGAUGUCGGGGGGUAAACCGCUAAAGCUUUAUGGUGACAUAAAGACAAGAUAAAUGACAGACACCUUUUUAUAAGGUACAGAACCCGGCUUAUCGUUCUGCUGU